rnacentral:rRNA from 1 species
CUGGCGGCAGGCCUAACACAUGCAAGUCGAGCGCACCUUCGGGUGAGCGGCGGACGGGUUAGUAACGCGUGGGAACGUGCCCUUCUCUACGGAAUAGCCUCUGGAAACGGAGAGUAAUACCGUAUACGCCCUUUGGGGGAAAGAUUUAUCGGAGAAGGAUCGGCCCGCGUUAGAUUAGGUAGUUGGUGGGGUAACGGCCUACCAAGCCUACGAUCUAUAGCUGGUUUUAGAGGAUGAUCAGCAACACUGGGACUGAGACACGGCCCAGACUCCUACGGGAGGCAGCAGUGGGGAAUCUUAGACAAUGGGGGCAACCCUGAUCUAGCCAUGCCGCGUGAGUGAUGAAGGCCUUAGGGUCGUAAAGCUCUUUCGCCUGUGAUGAUAAUGACAGUAGCAGGUAAAGAAACCCCGGCUAACUCCGUGCCAGCAGCCGCGGUAAUACGGAGGGGGUUAGCGUUGUUCGGAAUUACUGGGCGUAAAGCGCGCGUAGGCGGAUUAGAAAGUUGGGGGUGAAAUCCCGGGGCUCAACCCCGGAACUGCCUCCAAAACUGCUAGUCUAGAGUUCGAGAGAGGUGAGUGGAAUUCCGAGUGUAGAGGUGAAAUUCGUAGAUAUUCGGAGGAACACCAGUGGCGAAGGCGGCUCACUGGCUCGAUACUGACGCUGAGGUGCGAAAGUGUGGGGAGCAAACAGGAUUAGAUACCCUGGUAGUCCACACCGUAAACGAUGAAUGCCAGUCGUCGGAUAGUAUACUAUUCGGUGAC